GGCCUGUGUCGUCAUGCAUAGACUUGAGUGCUUGGCGAGAGUUUCAGUUUGUAUCGUCUGCUUAAACCCUACAUCAUGGUGGCGCAUAGGAGCUGCGUGUUCGGGACUGCGGUCGAAUCCGAAUCGGCGGUGUGUCUGUGGAGUUUGCAGAUUCUCCCCGUUGGUUUCCGACAAUCGUUCAAAGACAUAGCAGAAGAAAACUUAAGUACGCGCGCACAUCACGGAAACCACGCGGUGUCGUCGCCACCAGUCGACUGGCGCGACGGAGACAGAAGGGAGUGAAUGGAGAACUUUCCUGUAAUUCUCGGAUCCUUCAAGGAGUGAGCAGAAAAUUUGUGUAAUUCUCAUUCUUUCAAGGCAAGUUUUAACUACUUUUGUGCUUCUGCAUAUAUCUGUAAAUAUAAAUGGCAAUGUUUAGUCCCCUCUUUUUUUUUUUAACAUGGAUUUAUAUCUACUCUAUCAUACUCCCAUGAUGCUUUGCACUGGGCUCUGAAUAUUAUGGUGACAUGUGCAGUUCUGCCCAAGGCAGCCUCUGAGGAGAUUGAGCUUCCUUCUUUACACUGUGUGCUUUUAUGCUGUUUAGUUUGGUCAUGGUAGUUGUUAACCCUGCUGUUUUGUUCCUUUUUAAACUAAGCAUCUUCAGUGAUAGAAGUUUAGUUCCUUUGUUUGCGUAUGCAUAUACAUGGUGCAGUCAAAAAGUUCUAAGACUUUGUCUGUUACAGGUGGUGGUGUGAAAGCCGUGAGCUGUGCUGAGGUUUGUACAAGUGGAUGUAGGUGUAUUCCAUGAACCAGCUACUCCCCCUACUUCAAACCAGUUAUGAGAAAGGCAUGUUUAACAGCAGGUGUAAGUUUUCCGAUUAUAAUAUAUAUGGAUAGGGCAAAAAAAAGAAGUGUAUCUGAUUUUGUUUCAGAAAUAAAGCAGAACCAAUUCUCCA
rnacentral:lncRNA from 1 species